rnacentral:rRNA from 1 species
GAUCCUGGCUCAGGAUGAACGCUGGCGGCGUGCCUAACACAUUCAAGUCGAACGAACCGUAGAAAUACGGUGAGUGGCGGACGGGUGAGUAACGCGUAAGCAAUCUGCCUUUGUGUGUGGAAUAACAACCGGAAACAGUUGCUAAUACCGCAUAACGCACAGAGAUCGCAUGUUUUUUGUGCCAAAGAUUUAUCGCACGAAGAUGAGCUUGCGUCCGAUUAGAUAGUUGGCGGGGUAACGGCCCACCAAGUCGACGAUCGGUAGCCGGACUGAGAGGUUGAACGGCCACAUUGGAACUGAGAUACGGUCCAGACUCCUACGGGAGGCAGCAGUGGGGAAUAUUGGGCAAUGGACGAAAGUCUGAACCCCCAGCGACGCCGCGUGAGGGAAGAAGGUCUUCGGAUUGUAAACCUUAGUCAACAGGGACGAAGCAAGUGACGGUACCUGUGGAGGAAGCCACGGCUAACUACGUGCCAGCCGCUGC